rfam:Pongo abelii chromosome 5.
UCCCUGGCUCCACUAGGAGCCAUCUCAGUGACCCUAGGCAGUCUAGU